rnacentral:lncRNA from 1 species
GUUAGGACCUAGCAAAUCUGAAUCAGCUGGUCACUUCGCAACAGUCCGCGCUAUAAAGAGUUAGUGAGUUACCUGACGGAUUUUCACUUGUGUUGUUCCUGUCAAGAUCCUAAGGAAGAUGGGGAAACUGGAGUUGCUGAUUGUUGGCGCGGCGCUGAUGGCGACGGCGAGUGGGCUGUCCCUGCCGACGCUCAAGUUCUUCGGUGGGAAUGGCGAGGCCCAACCGGAGGCGGCCAAGCUGGAGUCGAGCAUGGAUGACGUGGACGCCGACGCCGGGAAAGCGGAGGCGGCGCCCGAGAAGAACGCCCUCGAGCACGACAACGUCUUCUCCACCCUCCACCUCCCCGGACUCCCCGGCAUCCCCCUCCCGCCAAUGCCCCCGUCCCGGCCUUCCUCCAACGCCCCCAGGUCAAGGCCACCAAAACCGUCAUCGUCGAGAUGACCCACUACGAGAAAACUCAUCCUGUUUGCUGGACAGUUGACCCUCAGAAACCACCCUGUGAUAGCCACGCAGAUGCUAGCAGCGAUGAUGUUGUUAUCAAGCCAACCGCCACUGUAACCCUUAUCAAGCCUACGGUUGGUCUGAAGAACCCGUUGCCAGUAGUGACCAAGAAGCCCGUUGUGAAACCGGUUGCCAGCGAGGAGGUCGUUGAGGAGGAGGAGGACGAAUCUGCGAGGGACGCCAUCCCCGCCGAGUCUCGCGAGGGACGCUACAUCCAGUUCGGAACCCCGGUCGUCACCGCCGGCGAUGAGGUCAAGAUCGACGAAGCUCCCAAGGACAACGUGGCCGCCGCCGAAGACGAAAAGGACGCCCGGAUCAUCUCCAAGCUCAUCGGCAGACACAACACCGUCUGGGAAACCAAGACCAUCUACGCCACCAAGACCGAAAAGGUUCAAGACCAUGCUACAGCUACUCUCAUCAUCGACAACUGCGUGCCGGUAGACUCCUCGAUCCCCAAGUGCAAGGCGAAGCAGCCGUUGGUAGACACCUACGGCCAGAACUACGAGGACCACUUCGACGAGAUCGAAGACGCCGACGGCGAGAAGGAAAAGGGGCGCCUCACCUUCCUCCAGAAGCUCAUCGCCCAGCAGGCCGCCCUCGCCGAGGGAGGCGCCCACUACGCCGCCCAACUGGCCGCCCAGCACGCCGCCUACCACGCCGCCCUCGCCCACAAGUUCCACUCGACCGCCGCUCAAAUCGCUCAGAACAACGCCAACAACGCCCUCGCCGCGGAGAACGCCGCCCUCGAGUCUGCUGCCCACCACCAGGAGGCCGAGCACGCCGCCCACGAGAACUUGGUCAAGAUCUUGAGCAAGUAUACCAAGAAAGGACAGCAGGAGGCAAUCAAGGAACAGGCUAUCAAGGAACAGGCAAUCAAGGAACAGACCACCACCAAGGCACCGGCCAAGAAACCGGCGACACCAGUAACAUCCGCUCCGGUGCCGGUGGUCCAGCCCGAACAAGAGGAUCGCUGGCGCAUCGUCGCUGAUUCCGAGGAAUAA